rnacentral:lncRNA from 1 species
AUGAGUGGCAGACUCACCUAUGUAAGAUUUGGCCAGGUGGAGGACAGAAUUAAGAAAAUCAACAAAUGGCUAAGGGUGUGGUGUUGUGAACAGGGCUUUGGCUACUUAAGUCAUGGAACUAAUUUUGAGAAAUCUGGAGGAGGAUGGAGUUCAUCUGUCAGACAAGGGGAAGAUCAUCUUUGGCAGCAAGCUUUCCAAUUUAAUCAGAAGGGCUUUAAACUGGAGUUGCUGGGGGAGAGGAUCCUCAAACCAUCCCACUUUGAGGCUGACAAUGGUAACAGUUGCCUUGGGCCUAGAGUAGGAUCACAGGCCAGUAAGACAGCACCUAAGAUUCAGGAUAAGGGAACUCUAAUUGGUGAAUCAGCCUCAAUGGGAGCCCAACUCAAGUGCCUGUACAUCAAUGCACGGAGCAUGGGGAACAAGCAGGAGGAGUUGCAGGCAUGUGUGCGCCCACAGGGCUGUGAUGUCAUUGGCAUCACUGAGAUGUGGUGGGAUGACUCUCAUGACUGGAAUGUAGGAAUAGAUAGGUAUAAACUCUUUAGGAAAGGCAGGCAGGGGAGAAGGAGAGGGGGUGUUGCCCUCUACAUCAGUGACCACCUGGAGUCCAUGGAGCUCCACCUGGGGAUAGACAAGGAGCUGACAGAGAGCUUCUGGGUUAGGGUUAAAGGGAGGGCAGGGGAAGGAGACAUUGUAGUGGGGCUCUGCUACAGGCCACCUUAUGAGGAAGACCAAGUGGAUGAGGCCCUCUAUAAACAGAUAGGAGCAGCAUUGCAUUCACAAAACAUGGUCCUCAUGGGGGACUUCAACCACCCCGAUAUCUGUUGGAGGGACAACACAGCAAUACACCAGAAAUUGAAGAGGUUCCUGAAAUGCAUUGAUGAUAACUUCCUCUUCCAAGUAGUACAGGAACCCACAAGGAAAGGUGCUAUGCUGGACCUUGUCCUCACCAACCAGGAGGGGCUGGUGAGUAAUCUGAAGUUCAAGGCAGCCUUGGAUGUAGUGACCAUGAAAUGGUGGAGUUCAAAAUCCUCAGGGUGUCAAAGAGGGUGCAUAGCAAGCUUGUUACUCUGGACUUCAGGAGAGCAGACUUUGAACUCUUCAGGGAACUGCUUGGCAGCGUGA